rnacentral:rRNA from 1 species
AUUGAACGCUGGCGGCAUGCCUUACACAUGCAAGUCGAACGGCAGCACGGGAGCAAUCCUGGUGGCGAGUGGCGAACGGGUGAGUAAAGUAUCGGAACGUGCCCAGUCGUGGGGGAUAACGUAGCGAAAGUUACGCUAAUACCGCAUACGAUCUAUGGAUGAAAGCGGGGGAUCGCAAGACCUCGCGCGAUUGGAGCGGCCGAUAUCAGAAUAGGUAGUUGGGGGGGUAAAGGCCCACCAAGCCGACGAUCUGUAGCUGGUCUGAGAGGACGACCAGCCACACUGGGACUGAGACACGGCCCAGACUCCUACGGGAGGCAGCAGUGGGGAAUUUUGGACAAUGGGCGAAAGCCUGAUCCAGCCAUGCCGCGUGCAGGAUGAUGGCCUUCGGGUUGUAAACUGCUUUUGUACGGAACGAAAAGGACUGCCCUAAUACGGUGGUCCCAUGACGGUACCGUAAGAAUAAGCACCGGCUAACUACGUGCCAGCCGCCGCGGUAA